AUUGACGUGACCCUCCGUCCCCAGGCCUGGCUCCCCGAGGGCUCAGAAGAGCGGCUUCGGUGUGCAGAUCAUCCGUCCGCGUGGGGUUCUCAGUGCCGGAGGCCUUGGGGUGGGGGCCAGGCCGCGCACAUGCAGAGGGUCCCAGUGGGCUGCACGCUCCCCUCCAUCCCCAUCGGCCCUGUCCCCUGGAGUGUGUCAGAGCCCAGGGGAGAAUGGAGCCCACCAGGGACACCUGGACCCCCUGCCCGCCACAUGGCGUGGCCAUCACUCAGCCCCCACCCCUGCCCUGUUACUAAGGGUAGAAAAUUACAGGGUCCCCUGCCACCGACUGCCCAGCCACUCCAAGCCCCCUGGCAGCUGCCCCUCUUGGAGCAGAAAGUGCCUUUAUCUUAGCCAUCCGCAGGCUGCUCGGCCAUUUGCGGGGACAGGCUGGAAUGAGGGAGGCGUCUUCAUCUCCCUGCCAUCCCCCUCUCAUGCCACCCCCCUCCCACCGGGCUGCAGGUGCUGCUGAUGCGCUGGGAUCUGAUUGAGGAUAAAAAAGGAGAGAUGACCCCCACCCCCUCAUCCCCCAGUUUUGAAAAGGUCCAAGCAAGUGAGUCUGGUGGAGGAGCUGAGGGAGGGAGCCAUGGAAGGUGCCAGAAGGAAGGCUGGGGGGGGGGCACGUGUGGGUCGUGGCUUGGGCUGGUCAGAGUGGCCUGAGCUGCCCGGCGCCUGC